AGAGCAGCUGCUGGAUUAUCUGGUAAGAAUAAAGUUUAGUUUUAUAAGGAAUGGCCAAAUUGUCUUCCAAAGUGGCUGUACCAUUUUUCAUUCCUACCAGCAAU
rnacentral:pre_miRNA from 1 species